UUGAAAGACAUUUGUUUUUGCUCACUUGUCACUUCCCACAAAUCCUACAAGCCAUAUCACUCUCUCGCCCAAAAAACUAAGAGGGGUCUGGGGAAAAGAAGAAAAGCAGAAAGCGCGUUUAUAAAGCAAACCAAAGCGCCACUGAGCUAACUCUGUGCGAACGAGUUCGUGACUCAGAAGAAGAAGAAACAUGUCUGGUAUUGCUCGUGGACGACUCGCUGAGGAGCGCAAGUCGUGGCGCAAGAAUCAUCCUCAUGGUUUUGUGGCGAAACCGGAGACGCUGCCUGAUGGUACCGUGAAUUUGAUGGUGUGGCAUUGCACUAUUCCUGGGAAGUCUGGGACUGAUUGGGAAGGUGGCUUUUUCCCCCUUACAAUGCACUUCAGUGAAGACUACCCUAGCAAGCCUCCUAAGUGUAAAUUCCCACAAGGCUUCUUCCACCCUAAUGUCUAUCCAUCUGGAACUGUAUGCUUGUCUAUACUUAAUGAGGAUAGUGGGUGGAGACCAGCUAUAACAGUGAAGCAAAUUCUUGUUGGUAUCCAGGAUUUGCUUGACCAGCCAAAUCCUGCUGAUCCUGCUCAGACAGAGGGAUAUCAUCUAUUUAUCCAGUCAUAUGCUUUUCAAAGUGUCUCUUCUCCAUCCUAGCAGCCCUCUUCACCGAGGAUUGUUAAAUUGACCACUCACCUACUUGAAGUUGGGUUUGGACAUGGUGGAAUAUUAGAUGCUACAGAGUAUAAAAGAAGGGUCAGGCAGCAGGCAAAGCAAUACCCACCAAUAAUCUAGUGAUACCACAGCUCACCUUAGGAACUGUUUUUGCAUCGUAAAUGCUCUCAUGCGCUAUAGCUUAAAACUCUUCUGUCAUCUGUGAUUGUUGGCUACAAUAUUUUGCAUACAUUAUGGUAUUUCUGUUUACUUUCCAAUUUGGAUUAAGUGUUAAUAUAUAAACAAUGUGGAAUCAACAAAUGAAUACAUGUUGGUGGCAUGUGCCUGAUGUUUGCUGAUGGAUAACAGUUCAGGUGAAUGAAUUGCAUGCGUGUCUUCUUUGA